UUCCCCUUCGCCGGCCGCAAGGUCGGCUAUGGCGAUAAACGGUCUUCGAAAUAAACCUAUCGGACCCGGGGGCGGUACCCGGCGCCUCCACCAAGACCCAGGGCACUCGGACGCAUGGGCCGAGAGACGCGACGGACCUGGGUUUCGGCGGGGGCGAAAUAGGAUCGACGAGGGCGUAAAGGUUGAGCUUUCGCUCGGCAUGGUUCCGCCGUUAUCGGGCCUUUGCAAUAGUUGCCAAUGACAACUUUGCUCCGGUGGCGGUGGCCGCGUAAGCGGUCCCCAAUACCAAACGAAGUCCUACCGGUUAGCAUCGGAUAGGCGGGGUUCGGAGGCACCUGGCAACAGAAGCCUCCACUUUAUUUU
rnacentral:tmRNA from 1 species